GGUCUUAGUAGAGGAGGAAGGGUCUUUGCGUUGUCCGGGUUUUAGGAGGUUGGGGCCGCAUCGACCCGCUAUCGCUCGAACGGCUACCACCGCCGCCCGGUCUAGGCCACGGAUCGACCCGCUAACGCGGGUCACCUCCAGGUCUAGGUCGUGGGGGUGGCAGAACGACGGCCGCAGGAGCGACGGGGUCGUCUAGAGGAGCGCCUGUUUAUGAGACGAGGUAGCAGGACGGGGCCGCCUGGCAGAGCUUCCAUGAGAAGAGGCUGCAGGUCACCUUUUGGAGUGCGUAAGAAGUGUGCAGCGAGCGUGGGGGCGCAGAUCGAGGCGGUAGACCCUUGCGACCUCUUCUUUAGAGGGCAGAAGUCCAGCUUCGAGCAGCUGAUCAUGAUUCAAACAAAAGGCGAUAAAACGACGACGUAGAACUUUACUUUACCUCCCUUCAUCACUCUGUAGCGACAAUCCGCUCGGGUAUCAAGGUCAUUAACGUUUUAAACAUGGUUGUGAUAGUCCACUGUUCUGUAUCAGGUUUUUCCUUUCAUAUAAAACAGUAACGGGUUAAAAGGUAAUAGGGAAGAAACUACAAAAAAGGCAAUUAGGGAAGAAACUACUAAAAACCAUAACAAAUAUGAGUAAUGUUAUUUUAGUAUAAAAGAAACACAGAAACGACGAUUAACGUUUCAUGAACUCGUUAUUCUCCGCGAAGAUUCGACAAUCCUCACCUUUGGUUGUCGAAGUCACUUGUACGUUUGUAGCACCGGACGUGAACAUCACGAAGACAGUCGUUUCUACACACGUAAUUCCGUUACGAUCCAGUGUUAGAUGUUAAUCGUCCUUUACAGGUAACCUCCCUGAUCUACCGACUAACAAAACUGGAUGAACGACACUUUUAACUAUGUUCACUAGGCAGUGACAGUUCGACACUUAUAUAAAACGGCAUACUAUAAUAAAAGCAAAAGAGAAGUGACCAAACUGUACACGGAAACACGAUGUUGUAGUUCAAAAAUGAAAACAGUAGAUGAGGGAGGCAAACUUUUUCGAACAGGGAGUUUACCUACAUAGAUUGUGGUUCAAUCACGAUCUAUGUAGGUAAACUCCCUGUUCAAACCCUGUUCGAAAAAGCCUUCCUCCCUCAUGCUCAAUCGUUUUGUUGAACUCAACGUGAGAAUUAACAAGUUAUGUAUGUACUAGUCAUAAUCUCUUGUAUUAAAAAGGAUAAAGAAAGGAACAUCACAUUUGAUAUAAAAAAAAGGAACAUAAACAUCUACGUACCAUGAGACUGUUCGCCUUCGUAGUCCUGAUGUCUACCUAUCUUUUUCGAAAAUAGUUUCAAGGGGGAAAGACUGUUAACUCUCUUAAAGAGACGUUGAACUGAAAUUGAGACAACAACUAGUCCGUAGACAUGCACAGACACGAGUUGACUUAGCACAAAAGAACCACACUAGGGAGGGUUUUGUUCUUCGAACUACUUACUACUUGUUCCUCAUCAUCUUGUCCUCCCUUUACGAUCUCGUAAAGACAAUACAUGGUAGUUCUAUGAUCUCGAAUAUUAAAAUUUAUUGUUACGAACAACUUACCACUAGUCUAAUCAGGAAUUACGGACAACGACCGGUACAUGGUUUCUACCACGAUGGUACAGAGUAGUUCUAUAAAUACGAACACUAUACGAGUUAGACCCGCUCAGGUC
rnacentral:rRNA from 1 species